CUCCUCGAUUCAGGUAAGUUUUGCUCCCGAUAGUUUCUGUUUAGAAAAACAGCUUCUUCCACAAUUGUUCCGGAGCUUGGACUAAUUUGAUUGAAUACCCAGGCGUUCCUUGCCUUCCAAAUUUGCCAGAGGACUCCUGCAAGCAUUUCCCGACCCGAUUGUGCUAAGCUUUUGUCACAGAAGGUGAAGAUGUGCUCCAUCGUCUCGGGAUGUUUUCGACAAAUUGGACAAAGUGGGUAAGGUAAGGCCCUUCUUUUAUAUAGAUUUUCCGAAGUUGGCAGAGCAUUACUACACACACACCAUAUGAAAAACCGAAUUUUUGGUUUUGUGCGUAAUU